rnacentral:sRNA from 1 species
UGGAUUGUCUGUCUCUAUGCUGUUCUUUGUCUCGGCACUUUGAGGAAUUUUACCUAAUGGCCAGCUAUCAGACAUUAUCCUUUUAUAUAAGGUGUGUUCCGUACCCUUGGUAUAAAUUAUUUUAAAAGCUAAUCUUGUUUAGCGUAUGUGUUUCUGUGCUUUAGAUGACACGCCAAAGGGUGGAUGUUGGAGUUGAAAAGGGAUCUAUGUUUGGUUAGUUCAUGGGAAGUCCGUGUUAUUUAUCAAUAGUGGUUCCCUCAUUGGAUUUGCUGUCAUUCAAUAUCUACAAGUUAAGGUUUGGAGUUGAAGCUCGACUGGACCAAAGAUCAUGCAUUGGAAAAAAUUAACCUUUUGUUUGGAUUUCUUCAUGUGCACACUUCAUCUGUCCAACAAUACUUAUCUGCUUCUUCUCCAACAAUUAGAAGUAUAUAUAUGGCUUGUGGAGUAGCUAAUUUCGGAACCAUGCUUGGAGUUCCUUCCCUGACUUCUUUUGUUAGUCUUUGUUAGUUAAUGCUUUUCAGACAUUGGUUUUAUAUAUGUCCCUUGUUGAUUCAAUGCAGACAUGGCAUUUGAAG